AGGCCUUUAGUCUAACCAAGACAGCUGAUUUCGACUCAGCAAAUUAAAGUUAAAAUCCUUAAUGGCCUU
rnacentral:tRNA from 1 species